GGAGGAGUGGCCGAGUGGUCUAAGGCACCCGCUUGCUAAGCGGACACACGGUGAAAAGCUGUGUCAAGGGUUCGAAUCCCUUCUCCUCCG
rnacentral:tRNA from 1 species